rnacentral:rRNA from 1 species
CGGCUAGGGGGCCAUCCCGGCUUACCAACCCGAUGCAAACUGCGAAUACCGGAGAAUGUUAUCACGGGAGACACACGGCGGGUGCUAACGUCCGUCGUGAAGAGGGAAACAACCCAGACCGCCAGCUAAGGUCCCAAAGUCAUGGUUAAGUGGGAAACGAUGUGGGAAGGCCCAGACAGCCAGGAUGUUGGCUUAGAAGCAGCCAUCAUUUAAAGAAAGCGUAAUAGCUCACUGGUCGAGUCGGCCUGCGCGGAAGAUGUAACGGGGCUAAACCAUGCACCGAAGCUGCGGCAGCGACGUUUAUGCGUUGUUGGGUAGGGGAGCGUUCUGUAAGCCUGCGAAGGUGGCCUGUGAGGGUUGCUGGAGGUAUCAGAAGUGCGAAUGCUGACAUAAGUAACGAUAAAGCGGGUGAAAAGCCCGCUCGCCGGAAGACCAAGGGUUCCUGUCCAACGUUAAUCGGGGCAGGGUGAGUCGACCCCUAAGGCGAGGCCGAAAGGCGUAGUCGAUGGGAAACGGGUUAAUAUUCCCGUACUUGGUGUUACUGCGAAGGGGGGACGGAGAAGGCUAUGUUGGCCGGGCGACGGUUGUCCCGGUUUAAGCGUGUA